UCAGACAUGACUACCCGCUGAACUUAAGCAUAU
rnacentral:rRNA from 8 species